AUCGUAAAGCUCUGUUGUUGGUGAAGAGGGAUAGAGGUAGUAACUGGCCCCUAUUUGACGGUAAUCAACCAGAAAGUCACGGCUAACUACGUGCCAGCAGCCGCGGUAACACGUAGGUGGCAAGCGUUGUCCGGAUUUAUUGGGCGUAAAGCGAGCGCAGGCGGAAAGAUAAGUCUGAUGUGAAAGCCCCCGGCUUAACCGAGGAAUUGCAUCGGAAACUGUGUUUCUUGAGUGCAGAAGAGGAGAGUGGAACUCCAUGCGUAGCGGUGGAAUGCGUAGAUAUAUGGAAGAACACCAGUGGCGAAGGCGGCUCUCUGGUCUGUAACUGACGCUGAGGCUCGAAAGCAUGGGUAGCGAACAGGAUUAGAUACCCUGGUAGUCCAUGCCGUAAACGAUGAGUGGUAAGUGUUGGGAAGUUUCCGCCUCUCA
rnacentral:rRNA from 1 species